GAUAUUAUUUUUUAAAAUUAAUUUCAUAGUUUCUUCGAUAUAUAAUAAUGAAUGAUAAAUAUUUUUUUACAAAGUUUAACUCUCGUACGUUAUUUUUCUAAAAAUUCUAAUAUUUUUAAAUAUAUUUUUAUCGUUAAAAUAUAUUAAAAAAAUUUAGUUAAUCAUAAAUUAAAUAUUUAAUAUUAAUUAAUUUUUUGAUAUUUUUAUUUUUUUAUAUUAUAGUGUUAUGACUUUUAUAGGUAUAUAUAUUUGUGAUGACAAAAUAAAAAAUAAUAAUAAUUUUCUAACGAUAACAAAUCAGAGAUAUAUUUAAAAAUAUUAUAACUUUUAUGAAAACAACAUAUAAAAAUUAAAUUAUAUAGAAAUAUAUUUAUUAUUUACUGUAUUUAUAGUAAUUUGUAUGAAAUUAACCUUAUUUUAUAUUAGGCCUUAUCAUUUAUU
rnacentral:lncRNA from 1 species